rnacentral:lncRNA from 1 species
GCCCGCCGUCAUCAUGGCAUCUACGUGUACUUCGAAGAUAAUGCUGGAGUAAUUGCUGAUCCGAAAGGAGGACUGGAAGAAGAAGCCAAGUACUUGAAGUAAUUCUCGACGAUGGUUGGAACCGGGAGUUCGAAGUCUGAUGGAGCCGAGCUUCCUUAGAGCUGUUUAUUUUGUAUAUGUGUUUUUGUUGUUUUUUUUUUAAGGCUUUGUAGCAUGCACUUUGUCAGUGGAAUGAGAAGAGAAUCUUCCGUUACCUCGUUCCCCCCCCUUUCUUUUUUGGGCCUUCGAGGCUUUGCAAUGUAUACUUCACCAAUGAAAUGAGAAUGAAAUUGCUUAUUACCUCGCCCAUUCUGGUAUUAACCGAUUAUUUACUAGACUCCUUUUGGCCUUCGUCGUGUUCGAUGCCGACGCUAUUUGGGGGUUCCCGAUCGUUGCAGUGUUGAUUUGUCCUUUGGUUUAUGACCGUAGGUUCUUUCGAGGUCAUUUGAGUUUGAUGUUUUCUCCCGGUGUGCGAGCUCGGGGGUCCAAACUUCUCGUUACCUUGAAGAGGUCGAUUUAUCUUCGACCCAUGUCAGGUUCCCUCUUAGUGGCUGGGACGAAGUUCCUUAUAUCUUUGAUGCAGUUUGUUCUUAUCUAUCGUAGAAGUAGUUCGUCGGCCUUUCUCUUUUAUCUUCCCCUUUCCUUUUCAUGUUUGAGUGAGGGUUUUUUCCCCUGCUCUUAACGGGGUCGUGAAAGCAUAGAGGUAUCAUUGAGGAAGGUCUCCUCCCUGCCGAUCAACCAAGCCUUUGUUUGCGUCGGGACGAGGUCUUCCCCGUGUUCUCGACAGUCGGAUUCAGCUCAUGUUAGGAUGAGGUUCUCCUCCUGUUUCUAGCAAGGCUGUGGGGGCACAUCAGGGCCGUUAUGAGGGCCUCUCCC